rnacentral:misc_RNA from 1 species
GAUGAAGAACGUAGCGAAAUGCGAUAAGUAAUGUGAAUUGCAGAAUUCAGUGAAUCAUCGAAUCUUUGAACGCACAUUGCGCCCGCCAGUAUUCUGGCGGGCAUGCCUGUCUGAGCGUCAUUUCAACCCUCAUGCCCCUAGGGCGUGGUGUUGGGGAUCGGCCAAAGCCCGCGAGGGAUGGCCGGCCCCUAAAUCUAGUGGCGGACCCGUCGUGGCCUCCUCUGCGAAGUAGUGAUAUUCCGCAUCGGAGAGCGACGAGCCCCUGCCGUUAAACCCCCAACUUUCCAAGGUUGACCUCAGAUCAGGUAGGAAUACCCGCUGAACUUAAGCAUAUCAAUAAGCGGAGGA